rnacentral:rRNA from 1 species
AGAGUUUGAUCAUGGCUCAGAUUGAACGCUGGCGGCAGGCUUAACACAUGCAAGUCGAGCGGGGAAGGGUAGCUUGCUACCUAACCUAGCGGCGGACGGGUGAGUAAUGCUUAGGAAUCUGCCUAUUAGUGGGGGACAACAUUCCGAAAGGAAUGCUAAUACCGCAUACGCCCUACGGGGGAAAGCAGGGGAUCUUCGGACCUUGCGCUAAUAGAUGAGCCUAAGUCAGAUUAGCUAGUUGGUGGGGUAAAGGCCUACCAAGGCGACGAUCUGUAGCGGGUCUGAGAGGAUGAUCCGCCACACUGGGACUGAGACACGGCCCAGACUCCUACGGGAGGCAGCAGUGGGGAAUAUUGGACAAUGGGCGAAAGCCUGAUCCAGCCAUGCCGCGUGUGUGAAGAAGGCCUUUUGGUUGUAAAGCACUUUAAGCGAGGAGGAGGCUACUUGGAUUAAUACUCUAGGAUAGUGGACGUUACUCGCAGAAUAAGCACCGGCUAACUCUGUGCCAGCAGCCGCGGUAAUACAGAGGGUGCGAGCGUUAAUCGGAUUUACUGGGCGUAAAGCGUGCGUAGGCGGCUUUUUAAGUCGGAUGUGAAAUCCCUGAGCUUAACUUAGGAAUUGCAUUCGAUACUGGGAAGCUAGAGUAUGGGAGAGGAUGGUAGAAUUCCAGGUGUAGCGGUGAAAUGCGUAGAGAUCUGGAGGAAUACCGAUGGCGAAGGCAGCCAUCUGGCCUAAUACUGACGCUGAGGUACGAAAGCAUGGGGAGCAAACAGGAUUAGAUACCCUGGUAGUCCAUGCCGUAAACGAUGUCUACUAGCCGUUGGGGCCUUUGAGGCUUUAGUGGCGCAGCUAACGCGAUAAGUAGACCGCCUGGGGAGUACGGUCGCAAGACUAAAACUCAAAUGAAUUGACGGGGGCCCGCACAAGCGGUGGAGCAUGUGGUUUAA